rnacentral:rRNA from 1 species
UACAGAGGUCCCAAGCGUUGUUCGGAUUCACUGGGCGUAAAGGGUGCGUAGGCGGUGAGGUAAGUCGGAUGUGAAAGCUCGGAGCUCAACUCCGAAAUGGCAUUGGAAACUACCUUGCUCGAGGGUUGGAGGGGGGACUGGAAUACUUGGUGUAGCAGUGAAAUGCGUAGAUAUCAAGUGGAACACCAGUGGCGAAGGCGAGUCCCUGGACAACUCCUGACACUGAGGCACGAAAGCUAGGGGAGCAAACAGG